AAUAUUGCACAAUGGGCGCAAGCCUGAAGCAGCCAUGCCGCGUGAGUGAUGAAGGCCUUCGGGUUGUAAAGCCCUUUUGGCGGGGACGAUGAUGACGGUACCCGCAGAAGAAGCCCCGGCUAACUUCGUGCCAGCAGCCGCGGUAAUACGAAGGGGGCUAGCGUUGUUCGGAAUUACUGGGCGUAAAGGGCGCGUAGGCGGCCUUGAUAGUUGGGCGUGAAAGGCCUGGGCUUAACCCGGGAACUGCGUUCAAUACUGCGAGGCUAGAGUGUGGGAGAGGUUGGUGGAAUUCCCAGUGUAGAGGUGAAAUUCGUAGAUAUUGGGAAGAACACCGGUGGCGAAGGCGGCCAACUGGACCACAACUGACGCUGAGGCGCGAAAGCGUGGGGAGCAAAC
rnacentral:rRNA from 1 species